GUGAACGAGCGACGCCGCGUGAGCGAUGAAGGCCUUCGGGUUGUAAAGCUCGAAAGUGGGGAUAAAGCCGCAAGGUUGAUAGAUCCACAGUAAGGACGGGCUAAGUUCGUGCCAGCAGCCGCGGUAAGACGAACUGUCCAAACGUUGUUCGGAAUCACUGGGCUUAAAGGGCGCGUAGGCGGUCAAACAAGUCAAGGGUGAAAUCCUGCAGCUUAACUGUAGAAGUGCCUUUGAUACUGUUUGUCUGGAGGGAGAUAGGGGUGUGCGGAACUUCCAGUGGAGCGGUGAAAUGCGUUGAUAUUGGAAGGAACGCCGGAGGCGAAAGCGGCGCACUGGAUCUCUUCUGACGCUGAGGCGCGAAAGCUAGGGGAGCAAACGGGAUUAGAUACCCCGGUAGUCCUAGCCGUAAACGAU
rnacentral:rRNA from 1 species